rnacentral:rRNA from 1 species
AUUGAACGCUGGCGGCAUGCUUUACACAUGCAAGUCGAACGGUAACAGGUCUUCGGAUGCUGACGAGUGGCGAACGGGUGAGUAAUGCAUCGGAACGUGCCCAGUCGUGGGGGAUAACGCAGCGAAAGCUGUGCUAAUACCGCAUACGAUCUAUGGAUGAAAGCGGGGGAUCGCAAGACCUCGCGCGAUUGGAGCGGCCGAUGUCAGAUUAGCUAGUUGGUGGGGUAAAGGCCCACCAAGGCGACGAUCUGUAGCUGGUCUGAGAGGACGACCAGCCACACUGGGACUGAGACACGGCCCAGACUCCUACGGGAGGCAGCAGUGGGGAAUUUUGGACAAUGGGCGCAAGCCUGAUCCAGCAAUGCCGCGUGCAGGAAGAAGGCCU